UGGCUUACAACAUAAAGCACAACUAAACAUCAAACAUUAAAAAACAAGAUAUCCUAUAUAAGCAACAAACAAACCAACAAAUCAAUAACACCAAUAUCAACAAUAUUAACCACAAUAAUAAACAUUUUACAGUUAUACCCAAAUUAAAGUAACCGCCAAACCCAACUAAACCCAACCAAACCAACACCAACCCAACCAAAAUGAAACAGACGAACCAAAAUUAGAGCCAUUUAAACCAUUUUAAAAUUUAGCAAGUUGCCCCAACCCAAGAGUUGUUCCAGCAAUGUCCCAGUGGCCUCCCAGGAGCCCCUUUUAGCAUAGGAGUGUCAGGGCAGGCCACAUGGUACCCACAGCUCUGUCGCUUCCCUGCACCUCAGCAUCUGCCACCUGAGGCAGCUGCCUCACUUUGCCUCAGCAUAGGGCCAGCCCUGUUGUUAGGUAUACUCUAUAAGAAACUGGUGAUAUACAGUACUGGCUUUCCAAAAGGCACACCCUUGGCAUAGCCGGUUUAUUUGAUGUCCAUAUCAGAGUUUCUGUAUGUUAGGAUGAAAUGUGGCACCAUGCUUUGGACAGGUUUCUCCUUCAGGCUGAUUGCCAUCGCAAGAGUGGAUUUGUCUCUGACGCUACUGAAAAAGGAAGUCAUCAGUACUUGUAUUAUUAGUGAAAAGGGAACUGAUUCACUGAGAGAUGCUUCAAACAUGCACUCAGGAUAUGGUGGUGCUCUUGUUUGUCUUCAUCACGUCGAUCCCCAUUAUGCUGGAGCGCAUAAGACCAUCUUCCACAUAUUUGAGACUUCUCCCAGUGCCACUUGGAAAAUCCUAAUUUGGCUUCAUAAACCAAGAUAUGAGUUGCAGACACACCCUAUUUUUAAAGCAUACAACUUUCCCCGAAGAAUUCUAGGAACUGUAGUUUGUUAAGGGUGCUGGAAAUUGUAGCUCAGUGAGGGGUAAAAUACCAGUUCUCAGUCUUCUUUUGGGAAAGCAAAGUGCAUUAAGGAAUAAGCCUUGCUGCUCCUUUUGCAGAAGCUGGGAAAGAAGCCAGGAAGCCUUUAGUUAACUAUAGUUCCCCAUUUUCCAUCACAUCUGAACUAUGGUUAAUGGCCCUCAAACAAGUCAGGAUAUGAAACCAACUUUAAAUCCAUCCAUGGCAUGCUUGUCCAAAUGCAGCCAAUGAGUCAAUUCCCUCAUUGGCAGUUACAGAAAUAGUAAUGACCUUUCCCUGCACUAUAGUAAUGAGACCAGCAAAAUUAUGGGCUGUAGUGUACACCUUGAGGGGACAGCAAGAGCAGAGGCCCAGGCCUUCAAAUUCCUGCCAUCUGUAUCCGGCAAGACUACCAAACAGCCUGCGAGAAUUCUGCCUUAACAAGAAAAGAAAAGAAAAGAAAAAAGAAAAGAAAAUGCUUUUUCACCUUUAUUUUUCAUGAAAUAUUUUAAAUUGCAAACAGCCUUGAUUGCAUUGGCAGAAAGACAAUGCCGCAAACAGAAUAAACAGUAGCCAACAUGGCUCUGUGCAGAAGUUAUUGCUGGACUCCCAACGCCCCAGCAAUCAUGGCCCAAGGUCAAGAAUGGAGGAAGCUGGGAGUCCAGUCACAUCCAGAGGCAACCAUGUUGUCUACCUCUGAUUAUUCAGCAUGGUACCCUCCGAAUAUUUGCCUGUUCUGGGCUGAGAAAUGCGCAAUCAACAUUUGGUAUCGAUAGCACUGCAAACCUAUUUUCCCGUCAAACCAGUAGGGGAUGAUGUUAUACAUAGAAUUAAAGCUCGCUAACUCAUAACUCCUAAAGGAAGUUUUCGCACAAAUGGCUGGGUUCAUUGAACUGUAUUGCGACCUUUAUGAUCAAUCUGAGAACCGACCUUGUCUGAAGGAGCUGGUCUAGUGUAAAGCUCCGGUGAUGUUCCGGUCACGAUUGCAGGACUUUUGACAAUGGUAAUUUAAUUCCAUUGUGGCUGUUUUAUUGCUAUUGGAGAUCUGAACGGAGGGAACAGUUGCUUCCUCUGUCUUGUUCUGCUUCCAUAGAUGAGACGGAGGGCUGGGGCUGGGGGAGAGACGCUCCAAAUAAUAUGAAUGACAGCGAUGAGUCAGCAGUUGUCAACAAGCUAACACCAGGCCAAUGAGGAAUUGGAGCAGAUUGAGUUGCAGCUGAGAAUGUAGGUGACAGGAGUCAUCACCUUGGAAUUUACAGGCCUGUCAACCCAGCAAAUGCUUUCUAACCACAGGAGUUUCAUGUUAACCUCUACUCAGCAUCCGUUUAGAAGCUGCAAGCAACCUCUGGUUUUGAAACAGAGCAUCUAACCGUCAGGUGCUGCCAUUCUUUGCACUCUCACUUGGCACUUGCUUCAGAGUAAAAAUCCAUCGGACCACACAGUUAAA